ACGAGAGGUACUGGUAUGUUUUGAUUUACAUUUUCUCAGUUUAAUUAUGCAAACUGCAAACGACAAAUCUAUUCAUAAGGAAAUCUGAUUUCAACAAGAUGUUAAAAGAUAUGUUGACUAUCUCUGAAUUGAUUAUUUGCCUCUGCUUAAGAUGUCAAGGUUUUCAAAAUAAGCUUAUCAUUUCGACUUAUGGUACUAUCAAAGAACUUAACUUGCAAAAUGGAGAAGAAUUGGAACUUCAGACUGACCUUCAUAGCUUUAUCUAUUCUGUAGACUAUGAUUAUAGAAAUGGAUAUAUAUAUUUUUCAAGAUAUACAAAAAAUGAUAUACAAAGAUUUCGAUAUCCACCAGGACAAAUGGCGGAUUUAGUACCUGUUACUUUUGCAAGCAGACCAGUAGGAUUGGUGAUUGACCCUUUAUAUAACCAUGUGUAUUGGACAGAACGAUCCACCGGGAAACUUUGUAGAUGUAAUUUAGAUGGGUCACUAAAAUCAGUUUUAUUGCAGGAUGAUCCACUCUUUGCUCUCACAUUUGAUUAUCGGAACAGAUGGCUGUAUUACAGUACGGAUGGUACAGAAAAAUCAAUUAGGCGAUUGAAACUUAACGGUUCUGAAAAUCAAACAAUCAUAAAUGUUCAAUCAGAACUAGUUACUGGUAUGAGCAUUGAUAAUGAUAAAGAUCGCCUUUAUUGGAUGGAAUUCAAUAAUGGGUUCUUGAAAUCAUCAACAUUAAAUGGAAGUAGUGUCAUAACGGUUUUAAACACAAAUACAAACAAUAAAAACCAAGAUAUCCAUGUGUACCGAGGCAACGUGUACUGUGCAAAUGGUAAUUCUUUACUUAAUGUGACACCAGGAGUAUCAGCGCAUGUCAUUUACAAUAAUACAGGAACAAUAUAUAGUGUAUUUAUUCAUGAUGAAAACCAUGAAAUACGUACGUAUACUUAAUACAUUCGAUAUUCUAAUUGUUUUUAAAAGGAUUUAUGAAAAGUGUUUUUAAGUGAUAGAUCUAAAUUUUGUUAAAAAUAGAAAUUUAAAACAGGUUUAUAAUUCUUAAUUUUAAAUUGAUUAACAGUUGAAUAAAUUAAGAUAAUUCACUGCAUUUAGGAAUAUCAUUAAUUUUAGACAAACGACGAUGGAGUAUCUCAUUGAAGUAGAUUACGUUAUAUAUUUCUUAUUGUAAUGAUUCAUCAAUGUGUUUAAGCAUUAAUUAUACAGUUAGCAGUGAUUAUGUUCAUUUGGUUUGAUAUUCGGCAGGAAAUGUAUUAUUUGACACAAUUAUGUUUUCACGUUCUUUAUUUACUUUUUCUCAAUUAUGUAAAUAUGUGUACUUGCUAGCUUAACUGAUCGCUGUUUUCAUCCAUGCAAAUUUUUUUUCACUAAGUACUUACAAAGUAACAUAACAAAAAUACCGAACUCCAGGGAAAAUUCAAAACGGAAAGUCCCUUAUCAAAUUGUGAAAUCUAAAGCUUAAACACAUCAAAGGAAUAGAAAACAAUUGUUUUAUUCCUGGUUUCAUACAGGCAUUUCCUUAUGCAGAAAAUGGUGGAUUAAACUUGGUUGUAUAGCUAGUUAACCCUCUCAAUUGUAUGACAAUCGUAUAGAAUGUUGUUAUAUUUACAAAAAUGUGUUGACAACAUGUAUGAAGAAUCUUGGUAUGAACAUAAUUGUUGAAACUCGUACCAAUUGUUUAUUAAAAUGGGCUAGUUACCAGUAUCUCUAGAAAUUGCAUGUCUGACACUAUCAAAAGCGUUACGUUAUUACGUAACACAAUCUUCGUUUUUUAUACUACAUUUUAAACUAAGCCAGUGUGAUGUUCUAUAAACAGGUACUGAAUCUAACGAGCAACACUCGAAUAUUUAUCACUGUCUGCGCAUGAGCAAAUGUUCAGUAGAAUAAUUAAUACCGUGUAUAAAUAUGUUAUAAUACGACAGUCGUACAGGAUAAAUCGUAUUAUAAAAACAGCUGAUGUACUCCUUGAAUUAAGUGUGAUACGUUAUCAUUACUAAAACAUGAGCUGCGUCGGAUAGAAAUCGACCUUAUACAAAUGAAUACCAAUACAUCUGUUAACCUAUUUCGGGUUGAAAAAUCUCCUUGCAAAGUCUGUAACUAUUUGAAAAUUGACUUGUUAUAAGACCCCUACAAAACAGAUCAAAAUUCUUCAUUAAUUUCGUAUUUGAAUGUUCAAAAAUAAAAAAAAAGGUCACAUGUUAUUGCUGUAUUGUAUUCCUUUGCAUUAAUACUAUCGCUUUGCAAUUAUACGAAUUAUGCAUGCUUAACAAUACACUAAUUAAUAGUACUGUGUUUGUUGUGUGACAUUUCUUUGUAUAAACAAAUUUUAAAAAAAAUUAUCAUUCAUGCAAAGUAGUCUUAUGAUUAAUACAGUUUUAAUGUUUCAUGAAAGAACAUGUUGACAAUCAAUAAACUCAUCUUAGAUACCAGGAUUGAAUUUUUGUACUCCAGACGCGCGUUUGGUCUAUAAAAGACUCAACAAAAGACCCCCCCCCAAAAAAAAAAAAAAAAAAAAAGCUAUUCAAUUAUAGUGUUUUCUUAGUUUCUUUUAGCAUAGAUAAUGUGUUUUGAUAUAUAAUCAGUUAUUCUAUUUGAACCGCUGUGUGUAUACUGACUUGCAAUGGUGAGUAGGAUUAUUUCUAUCCAAACCAAUUUGUUAAUUCUGCACGAAUGCCUAUGAAAUAUAAGAAAAUAGUAUUAACACAGAUGAAUUCAAAACGGACAAUAUGUCAAGGGUCUAAGCGUUCCAUACUAUAUACAAAUAAGAAGAUGUAAUAUGAAUACCAAUGAGAAACUCUCCAUCCAAGUCACAAUUUGUAAAAAGUAAACAAUUAUAGGUCAAAGUACGGCCUUCAACACGGAGCCUUGGCUAACACCGAACAGCAAGCUAUAAAGGGCCCCAACAUGACAAUUUUAAAACCAUUCAAACAGGAAAACCAACAGUCUAAUCUAUAUAAAAAACGAGAAACGAGAAACACUUAAGAACCAUAUCAACAAACGACAACCACUGAAACAGUAUCCUGACUUGGGACAGGUGCAAACAAAUGCAGCGGGAUUAUUUAAUCAAAGUCUGACAUUAAGGAAGCAGUUGCAAUCGGUAGGUCUCUAGAUCAUACGACUUUUGAUGUAUCUAAUUCUCAAACACUAAUAACUGAGCUUUAGUAAGUUGAAAAGAUGAAAAUUGUUUCUGGAACAAUGUAAAAAUUAAAAAAAAAAAGUAUAAGGAAACUAUAUUUGAUCAGAACAGCUCUUUACAGAAUGAGCAAUAAACGAUACGUCAUGUCAAGUAUUACAUUAACAUGUUAGACUUAUCCUCCGCUACAAACUUAGAAUUAUUCAUACAAUUUGCCGGCAAAAUGUUGGAACACUAUUGUAUAAACAAACAAAACCAACUUUCCACACAAGACUUGACAUUUGCAAAUUAUGCUGAAAUCGAAACGGUCGUUUAAGUUUGAAAUUCUUUUAUAAGGAUAUCAGUUUGUUGUUUGUUUUUUUUUUUAACAUACAUCACAGAACAUAACAAUUAAUUGUAAAAAAAAAGGGUGUUUAAAUGAAAGUGUCUUUAUUAUUCGCCAUUGUAAACUUCGGUGCAGUUAUAUAAAUCAAUGAGGUUGCUUUGUUUUAGAUGUUUUUAUUUGACUGUAUUUCAUGGGAUAAACACAAGUGACAAGUAAAUCAGAAAUGUAUUACUUAAAGGAAACUAAACGAUUAUAAACUAAACAAGACCGGCAGUAUCAAAAAGGAAUGCGUGGUACAUCUUUGAUAAACUAAAAACGGAUAUAAAAAAUCGAAUUUAAGAAUUCAUGUGUGUCGCCAAAACAACAAGAAAAAUAGAGACUAUUGCAAUAAAUGACAGGUCGAGUUUUAUGUUUGGAGUUAUUUGGAGAGACUGAGGACAUAUGUUUACAAUAUGAAUUUGUUAAUUCUAUAAUUCAGAACAAUGUUCACAAGAAAGGAACUAUUGAUUUGAUCUUGUUUGAUUUAGAAGAAGAUGAGACAUUCAUAAAAAGUAUGAGCUAAUAUCAAAUUGAAAUUGGAGAUCAGCCGAGAACUCAAGAUUUAAAAAACUAUAUAUAUAUAUGUUGCAAAUGAAAUAACAUGUCUUUCUAAUAUAAUUCACAAAACAAUA